rnacentral:rRNA from 1 species
CAGUAGCCGCGGGAAAACGGAGGGUGCAAGCGUUAAUCGGAAUUACUGGGCGUAAAGCGUGCGUAGGCGGUUCGUUAAGUCUGUUGUGAAAGCCCCGGGCUCAACCUGGGAAUGGCAAUGGAUACUGGCGAGCUAGAGUGUGUCAGAGGAUGGUGGAAUUCCCGGUGUAGCGGUGAAAUGCGUAGAGAUCGGGAGGAACACCAGUGGCGAAGGCGGCCAUUUGGGACAACACUGACGCUGAGGCACGAAAGCGUGGGGAGCAAACAGGAUUAGAUACCCCCGUAGUCCCUGUCUCUUAUAC